CUCAGUUCAGCUGCAUCAGUGAACACAGACAAUGGUGCUCCGCUCUGUUAUUCUGCUCUUUGUCUUUGCAUGUGCUACGUGUGGAAAUGAAAUUAGACCAACCAAAACUGAAGAGUUUGCUGUUGAGGGUUCAAAUGUUACAUUAUCCUGCAGUUAUUCUUCUGCACAAACUUUAUUCUGGUACCGUCAGUAUCCCGGAUCAGCUCCUGAAUUCCUUGUAGUUAUCGUAUAUGGUGCAAAAGAAGACAAGAAUUCUGAUGUAAAUCCCAGAUUCACUGCUAAACACAACAAAGAAAAGAAAAACCAUGUGGAUCUGGAGAUCUCCUCUGCUGCAGUAUCAGACUCUGCUCUGUAUUACUGUGCUCUGAGGCCCACAGUCACAGAAAACACUGUAACACUGUACAAAAACCUGUGACACAGUGAGAGAGAACAAGA